UGGGCUGGCACGCAGGGGGAUGCUCACGCUCCGGUGACCCUGCAGGGAUCAACGUGGGCCACUCCUCUGGCUAAAUCCAGCAGAUCGGAGCUGUGGAGCAGCCCCACGACUCCCAGGAUCUGUUCCAUCACACCCCAAGGUGGGGAGGAUUGUUUAUCAUCCUUCCCAGAGAAUGUCUUUGCCCAGUCCUGUUCCCAUGAGGAAUCAGAAGGGAUCUGCAGCUGCUCGUGGGGGUUUUUUUGUGCACCAGGAGGGCACUGGGGAUGCCAAUCCGAGUUUCAAUUGCCCAGCAAGGGUACAGAACCAGAUUUUCUUUAUUUUACACCGUGGAAGAAACCUUUUGCCUCAUGUCCCACCAGGAUCACAUCCAAAGGGGAACCAGCCCUGGACCUCCCCACUGAGCCACUCACCACAAAUUAGGAACAGAACUGGACCUGAGCUGCUCUCUACAGCUCAGUCUCUGCUCCUGCUCUGGCCCUGAAGGUGAGGACUGCACUGCCCUGGCUGAGAAGCUCCAUCCCAUCUGCCUCUCCCCCUGCUCCAGCCAUGCGCCCCCAGAUCUGCAGAGCCAAAGAGCCCUGCACGAGCAGUGGGAUCCUCUAGCAAUAUUAAGAGCCCUUUUGCUGCUGUGUUUCAGCUCCGUGAGAAUUGCUUUGACAUCUCCCUGGGAAGCAAGGAGGAUGUUUAUUGCAGUACCUGAGGCCAGGCAGUGAAACCAAAGUGGAUGGGCCAAGCAGAGAACCUCCAUCGUUCAUAUUUCUGAGCAACUAUACAGUGACAAAUCGCCAGACGAUGACGUUUGACCUGCACAAGUAAUAAAAAGCUAAAAUUGGUUGGGUUUUUUUUAAAGCACAGCCCUUCAA